UGGGGAAUCUUGCGCAAUGGGCGAAAGCCUGACGCAGCGACGCCGCGUGAGCGAUGAAGGCCUUCGGGUUGUAAAGCUCUGUGGAGAGGGACGAAUAAGGGCUGGCGAAUACCCAGCCUGAUGACGGUACCUCUUUAGCAAGCACCGGCUAACUCUGUGCCAGCAGCCGCGGUAAGACAGAGGGUGCAAACGUUGUUCGGAAUUACUGGGCGUAAAGCGCGUGUAGGCGGCUAUGCAAGUCGGAUGUGAAAUCCCGCGGCUCAACCGUGGAAGUGCAUCCGAAACUGCGUGGCUAGAGUCCCGGAGAGGAAGGUGGAAUACUUGGUGUAGAGGUGAAAUUCGUAGAUAUCAAGUGGAACACCGGUGGCGAAGGCGGCCUUCUGGACGGUGACUGACGCUGAGACGCGAAAGCGUGGGUAGCAAACAGG
rnacentral:rRNA from 1 species